GGCUCAGGAUGAACGCUAGCGGCAGGCUUAACACAUGCAAGUCGAGGGGCAGCGUGGAGUAGCAAUACUCUGACGGCGACCGGCGAAAGGGUGAGUAACGCGUGAGCAACAUGCCCGGGACUGGGGGAUAGUCGAUGGAAACGUCGUGUAAUACCCCGUAACACAUUGCACCGCAUGAUGCGAUGUUGAGAGAUUUAUCGAUUCCGGAUUGGCUCGCGUCCCAUUAGCUAGUUGGCGGGGUAACGGCCCACCAAGGCGACGAUGGGUAGGGGUUCUGAGAGGAAGGUCCCCCACAUUGGAACUGAGACACGGUCCAGACUCCUACGGGAGGCAGCAGUGAGGAAUAUUGGACAAUGGCCGAGAGGCUGAUCCAGCCAUGCCGCGUGCGGGAGGACGGCCCCCUAUGGGUUGUAAACCGCUUUUGUCAGGGGGCAAUAAGUGCUACGUGUAGCGCGAUGAGAGUACCUGGCGAAUAAGCAUCGGCUAACUCCGUGCCAGCAGCUGC
rnacentral:rRNA from 1 species